rnacentral:rRNA from 1 species
GAUGAACGCUGGCGGCGUGCUUAACACAUGCAAGUCGAACGAUUGAAGCUGGAGCUUGCUCCGGCCGAUUUAGUGGCGGACGGGUGAGUAACGCGUGGGUAACCUGCCUCAUACAGGGGGAUAGCAGUUGGAAACGACUGGUAAAACCGCAUAAGCGCACGGUGUCGCAUGACACAGUGUGAAAACACUCCGGUGGUAUGAGAUGGACCCGCGUCUGAUUAGCUAGUUGGUGAGGUAACGGCCCACCAAGGCGACGACCAGUAGCCGGCCUGAGAGGGUGAACGGCCACAUUGGGACUGAGACACGGCCCAAACUCCUACGGGAGGCAGCAGUGGGGAAUAUUGCACAAUGGGGGAAACCCUGAUGCAGCGACGCCGCGUGAGUGAUGAAGUGUUUCGGUAUGUAAAGCUCUAUCAGCAGGGAAGAUAAUGACGGUACCUGACUAAGAAGCACCGGCU